rnacentral:rRNA from 1 species
GACGGGGCCCGGCACAAGCGGUGGAGUAUGUGGUUUAAUUCGAUGCAACGCGAAGAACCUUACCUGGUCUUGACAUCCCGGAGACCCUUAGGAACUAGGGGUGCUUCCAUCUGGAAGAAUCUGGAGACAGGUGCUGCAUGGCUGUCGUCAGCUCGUGUCGUGAGAUGUUGGGUUAAGUCCCGCAACGAGCGCAACCCUUGCCUUUAGUUGCCAGCAGUUCGGCUGGGCACUCUAAAGGGACUGCCGGUGUUAAACCGGAGGAAGGUGGGGAUGACGUCAAGUCCUCAUGGCCUUUAUGACCAGGGCUACACACGUACUACAAUGGCCGAUACAAAGGGCAGCGACACUGCGAGGUGAAGCCAAUCCCGUAAAAUCGGUCUCAGUCCGGAUUGGAGUCUGCAACUCGACUCCAUGAAGUUGGAAUCGCUAGUAAUCGUGGAUCAGCAUGCCACGGUGAAUACGUUCCCGGGCCUU